rnacentral:rRNA from 1 species
UACGAAGGGGGCUAGCGUUGCUCGGAAUUACUGGGCGUAAGGGGUGCGCAGGCGGUCUCGUAAGCUGGGUGUGAAAGCCCCGGGCUUAACCUGGGAAUGGCAUUCAGGACUGCGAGGCUUCGAGUGCGGCAGAGGGAGGUGGAAUUCCACGUGUAGCAGUAAAAUGCGUAGAGAUGUGGAGGAACACCGAUGGCGAAGGCAGCCUCCUGGGCCAGCACUGACGCUCAUGCACGAAAGCGUGGGGAGCAAACAGG